rnacentral:lncRNA from 1 species
GGGUGAGUACUCUAGGCAUUCCUGGCAGAGGAUACAGCAGGAGCAAAGGCCUGGAGGCUAAAAAUAGCUUGCGGGCAGGGGAGCUACCAGCAGUUCAGUGCUUCUGGAGUUUAAAGAGCCCGGCGAGGGUCAUGUCAGAUGACGCCGGUCCACGAGAAGGAGGGUGGAUUAUAUCCUUAGAGACGCCAUAGAGUGAGGAUAUAAUGGCUCUGUAACAAGCAUAAACUGUGAUGGUCUGGGAUGCCCUCGUCAUAGACAGCCCCUGGAGAGUCAUAAUGUUUAUCGAUGAGAAAACAGAAAUUUGAAGAGGCAAAGCAAGUUGCCCAAGGCCAAGGGAGAAGGUCAGCGUGAACUGCUACCGCCAUGUUGAAGUUCAUCUUCUCUUCACUGCGAGAAGCUGCCUGGACACCAGGGUGGAGGAGCUGUCAGGGCCCUCACUGUGGAAGGAAGGUCCACAGAAAACAUCCUGGGGUCCUGAGCUGAAGUGUGAUGGGAGGAGUCCUCUGUAUCUCAGUCUGAUCCUGGUCUCCCUCUCGGCCAUGGUCUCACACUAGUGCUGCUGGGAAACCAUCCCUCACAUCCAGUCCUGGCAUCGGGCAGUGACUCUGGUCCAACUGUUGUCCAACUCAAGGGUUUAGCUGCUUAGAUUUUCCUAAAACUUGAAUUUCAUUUUCCUCUAGCCAUGGAAUACAGAUUAAUCCUUUACAAUUAAAAUCCAAGUUCAGAUUUUAUUUGUUGUGGUUUUUAAUUAAAAUCUCACCAGCA